rnacentral:rRNA from 1 species
AUUGAACGCUGGCGGAAUGCUUUACACAUGCAAGUCGAACGGUAGAGGGGGCAACCCCUCGAGAGUGGCGAACGGGUGAGUAAUAUAUCGGAACGAGCCCAGUCGUGGGGGAUAACGUAGCGAAAGUUACGCUAAUACCGCAUACGAUCUAAGGAUGAAAGCGGGGGAUCGCAAGACCUCGCGCGAUUGGAGCGGGCGAUAUCAGAUUAGGUAGUUGGUGGGGUAAAGGCUCACCAAGCCAACGAUCUGUAGCUGGUCUGAGAGGACGACCAGCCACACUGGAACUGAGACACGGUCCAGACUCCUACGGGAGGCAGCAGUGGGGAAUUUUGGACAAUGGACGCAAGUCUGAUCCAGCCAUCCCGCGUGCAGGAUGAAGGCCCUCGGGUUGUAAACUGCUUUUGUACGGAACGAAAAGGUCUCUCUUAAUACGGGGGACUCAUGACGGUACCGUAAGAAUAAGCACCGGCUAACUACGUGCCAGCCGCCGCCGUAACAC